AAACUAAUACUUUAAAUAAAAGAGUAGUGUUGCACACUACCAUUGACAAUUGUGUCUUAGUUUG
rnacentral:tRNA from 1 species